CCUACGGGAGGCAGCAGUGAGGAAUAUUGGUCAAUGGCCGGAAGGCUGAACCAGCCAUGCCGCGUGAAGGUCAGUGCCCUAUGGGCGUUAAACUUCUUUUGUGCGGGAGCAAUAAUGGUCACGUGUGGCCAGACGAGAGUACCGUACGAAUAAGCAUCGGCUAACUCCGUGCCAGCAGCCGCGGUAAUACGGGGGAUGCAAGCGUUAUCCGGAUUUAUUGGGUUUAAAGGGUGCGUAGGCUGUGAGGUAAGUCAGCGGUGAAAUGCCCCCGCUCAACGGGGUGAAGUGCCAUUGAUACUGCCUGGCUGGAAUGCGGAUGCCGUGGGAGGAAUGUGUGGUGUAGCGGUGAAAUGCAUAGAUAUCACACAGAACACUGAUUGCGAAGGCAUCUCACGAAUCCGCGAUUGACGCUGAUGCACGAAAGCGUGGGUAUCAAACAGGAUUAGAUACCCUAGUAGUC
rnacentral:rRNA from 1 species